rnacentral:lncRNA from 1 species
UGCGCUUUCCGUGUCGUGUGGACCUGUCAUUUCCUAGCACUGAGCCUGCUGGCAAGCAGACCUGGAGAGACAGCAGUGGGCAAGGGUGCAAUCCUGGCAGACCCUGGGAGGACGAGUGGAGCAGUGCUUCUCAGCGAGCUGAUGUGUCUCCUUCUACUGUCCUUUCAGCAGAGUCCGCCAGGUCCUCUGGCAGUGGCUUGUGCGGAUUUUAUCAAGUGUCACCGCACACUGAGUUUGUAACCUGGGAGACCAGAGACUCACGGGCUCGCAUCCCCAGCCCCGUCCUUCCCUGACUUUUCAUCAGCUGCAGCCAGACAGCAAGCCUUUCUUUCCCUCCCGAAGCCUGUCAGCUCUUCCCUGUAGAAAGCCACCUGGCUGUGCUCGCC